rnacentral:rRNA from 1 species
UACGGGGGGGAGCAAGCGUUGUUCGGAUUUACUGGGCGUAAAGGGCGCGUAGGCGGCCAGCGCAAGUCAGUUGUGAAAUCUCCGGGCUUAACUCGGAACGGUCAACUGAUACUGCGCGGCUAGAGUGCAGAAGGGGCAACUGGAAUUCUCGGUGUAGCGGUGAAAUGCGUAGAUAUCGAGAGGAAGACCAGUGGCGAAGGCGGGUCUCUGGACAGUUCCUGACGCUGAGGCACGAAGGUCAGGGGGAGCAAACGGG